rnacentral:lncRNA from 1 species
AUUUGACAGAGAAGUUACAGCAUGUUUUAAGCUCACACCAUGGUUUACAGUUCAUGCACCUACAGCGCAGUUGUGGAAAGCAAAAGGACAUCACCAGAGCACUGAGAAUUUAGAAGAGGCAACUUCUUUGUGCUCAAGGUACCUGAUAAGCGUUCUUGUGCUUAUGAGACUGGCAGAAAUCUGCCACAGGCCACACAAACCCCAGAGGCUUUCCUCUUAUGUAUUCAUGUAAAUAUUUCACUCUGAAAUGUAAACAUAACAGAACAUACUCCCUUUUUCUGAUAUGCUGCUUAGAAGUUUUAUAAUACACUUACAUUUUCUCUCUUUAAAAACAAAGCAAAAAAACCCACCCACAACAAAUAUUAGCACAGCAGCAAGGUGACGAGGGCCCAUGAACAACCCUGGCCAGCCUUUGGGGGAACGGAAAGCAAGGCCACAACCAACACGACAUCCCUGCCUCCUGGCAUUCCCAACACAUCAUGGCUGAUUCUCUAAAAGACCUUCAUAAGUGGGAAGGACUGGCUCCAUCCUCCAAAGAACAUUCUCACUGAAAUAGGGUAGAAGAGUAUUCAGUUGGACAUCACUGUUAGCUCUGAUUCAUGUUAGCCUUUCCUAAUUCCAUUUCUAAAAACAGAAAAAUAAAGCUAUUGUUCCAUAUGCUGCUGCUCUUGGUACAUUUUUUUCAGCUCUUCCUUUACCAGCUCUACUUCCCACAGUUAUCAGUGUUGUG